rnacentral:rRNA from 1 species
GACGAACGCUGGCGGCGUGCCUAAUACAUGCAAGUCGAACGCAGUGGGGACUGGUGAGUAAUCCGUGGGUAACCUCCCAUCAGUGGUGAUAACACUUGUAAACAGGUGCUAAACCGAUACUGAUGGCUGGACCCUCGGUGCAUUUGCUAGUUGGUGGGGUAACGGCUCACCAAGGCCACGAGGCAUAGCUGGUCUGAGAGGAGGAUCAGCCACACGGGGACUGAGACACGGCCCAGACUCCUACGGGAGGCAGCAGGAGGGAAUCUUCGACAAUGGGCGAAAGUCUGACCGAGCAACGCCGCGUGAAUGAAGAAGGUUUUCGGAGCGUAAAGAACUGUUGUUAGAGAGGCGUUAGCUAAAGAGGAAGCCACGGCUAACUACGUGCCAGCAGCCGCGGUAAUUC